rnacentral:rRNA from 1 species
GACGAACGCUGGCGGCGUGCUUAACACAUGCAAGUCGAACGGAAAGGCCCUGCUUUUGUGGGGUGCUCGAGUGGCGAACGGGUGAGUAACACGCGAGUAACCUGCCCUUGACUUUGGGAUAACUUCAGGAAACUGGGGCUAAUACCGGAUAGGAUCUCCUGCUGCACGGGGGGGGUUGGAAAGUUUCGGCGGUUGGGGAUGGACUCGCGGGUUAUCAGCUUCUUGGUGGGGUAGUGGCUUACCAAGGUUUUGACGGGUAGCCGGCCUGAGAGGGUGACCGGCCACCUUGGGACUGAGAGAGGGCCCAGACGGCUACGGGAGGCAACAGGGGGAAACAUGACACAGUGAGCGGAAGCCUGAGACAACGACGCCGGGUGCGGAAAGACCGCCUUCGGGUUGAAAACCAAUGUCGCCUGAGACGUGGCGGGCGUGACGGUACUGGGUAAGGAAGCACCGGCUAACUACGUG